UACGUAGGUGGCGAGCGUUGUCCGGAUUUACUGGGCGUAAAGAGCGCGCAGGCGGUCGUUCAAGUCGCGUGUGAAAGCCCCCGGCUCAACUGGGGAGGGUCACGCGAUACUGAUCGACUCGAAGGCAGGAGAGGGAAGUGGAAUUCCCGGUGUAGUGGUGAAAUGCGUAGAUAUCGGGAGGAACACCAGUGGCGAAGGCGACUUCCUGGCCUGUUCUUGACGCUGAGGCGCGAAAGUGUGGGGAUCAAACAGG
rnacentral:rRNA from 1 species